rnacentral:rRNA from 1 species
UACGGGGGGGGCAAGCGUUGUUCGGAAUUACUGGGCGUAAAGGGCUCGUAGGCGGCUAACUAAGUCGGAUGUGAAAUCCCCAGGCUUAACCUGGGAACUGCAUCCGAUACUGGAUGGCUUGAAUUCGGGAGAGGGAUGCAGAAUUCCAGGUGUAGCGGUGAAAUGCGUAGAUAUCUGGAGGAAUACCGGUGGCGAAGGCGGCAUCCUGGACCGGCAUUGACGCUGAGUGAGCGAAAGCCAGGGGAGCAAACGGG